rnacentral:sRNA from 12 species
GUGAGGAGGACCCCACGUGAUGCGCAGCGUCACGUUUAUAAUGGGGUCCGACGUACCUGCCGCCGCCGUCGAAGACGGAGGGGGCGAUACCAAAA